GAGUUUGAUCCUGGCUCAGGAUGAACGCUGGCGGUCGGCCUAACACAUGCAAGUCGAACGGAUUCUUCGGAAUUAGUGGCGGACGGGUGAGUAACGCGUGAGAAUUUGCCUUUCGGAUGGGGAUAACAGGGGGAAACCCCUGCUAAUACCCAAUGUGCCUAGCGGUGAAAGAUUUAUCGCCGAAAGAGAAGCUCGCGUCUGAUUAGCUAGUUGGUGGGGUAAAGGCUCACCAAGGCGACGAUCAGUAGCCGGUCUGAGAGGAUGAUCGGCCACACUGGGACUGAGACACGGCCCAGACUCCUACGGGAGGCAGCAGUGGGGAAUUUUCCGCAAUGGGCGCAAGCCUGACGGAGCCAGACCGCGUGAGGGAAGAAGGCUCUUGGGUCGUAAACCUCUUUUCUCAGGGAAGAAAAAAAUGACGGUACCUGAGGAAUCAGCCUCGGCUAACUCCAUGCCAGCAGCCGCGGUAAGACGGAGG
rnacentral:rRNA from 1 species